rnacentral:rRNA from 1 species
AACGAACGCUGGCGGCAUGCCUAACACAUGCAAGUCGAACGAGACCUUCGGGUCUAGUGGCGCACGGGUGCGUAACGCGUAGGAACCUGCCCUUAGGUUCGGAAUAACUCCCCGAAAGGGGUGCUAAUACCGGAUAAUGUCUUCGGACCAAAGAUUUAUCGCCUUUGGAUGGGCCCGCGUUGGAUUAGCUAGUUGGUAGGGUAAAAGCCUACCAAGGCGACGAUCCAUAGCUGGUCUGAGAGGAUGAUCAGCCACACUGGGACUGAGACACGGCCCAGACUCCUACGGGAGGCAGCAGUGGGGAAUAUUAGACAAUGGGCGAAAGCCUGAUCCAGCAAUGCCGCGUGAGUGAUGAAGGCCUUAGGGUUGUAAAGCUCUUUUACCCGGGAUGAUAAUGACAGUACCGGGAGAAUAAGCUCCGGCUAACUCCGUG